rnacentral:rRNA from 1 species
GAUGAACGCUGGCGGCGUGCCUAAUACAUGCAAGUCGAGCGAACGGACGAGAAGCUUGCUUCUCUGAUGUUAGCGGCGGACGGGUGAGUAACACGUGGAUAACCUACCUAUAAGACUGGGAUAACUUCGGGAAACCGUAGCUAAUACCGGAUAAUAUUUUGAACCGCAUGGUUCAAAAGUGAAAGACGGUCUUGCUGUCACUUAUAGAUGGAUCCGCGCUGCAUUAGCUAGUUGGUAAGGUAACGGCUUACCAAGGCAACGAUGCAUAACCGACCUGAGAGGGUGAUCGGCCACACUGGAACUGAGACACGGUCCAGACUCCUACGGGAGGCAGCAGUAGGGAAUCUUCCGCAAAGGGCGAAAGCCUGACGGAGCAACGCCGCGUGAGUGAUGAAGGUCUUCGGAUCGUAAAACUCUGUUAUUAGGGAAGAACAUAUGUGUAAGUAACUGUGCACAUCUUGACGGUACCUAAUCAGAAAGCCACGGCUAACUACGUG